rnacentral:sRNA from 1 species
UCUGAGAACUUCUGAAAACUGGAGAUUUUUUUUUUUUAAUUUCAGGGAUGGUUUAUCCUGACUAAAUCCUUUAUGCCACCUGAGAGAAACCGGGUCGGAAAGAGUACAUGUGGGCUGACAGGGCCACAUGCAGGAAGUGGUCCAUGAGGGCCCAGCCUGGAGACAGCACCAUUCGAGGGGACGCACGCACGCACGCAUGCACGCCCCCAGGAGGACCGUUUCCCUUCGUUAUAUGGGCUCUUGAGUCACCUAGCAGAUAAACUCUGCACCUGCCUCUGAAGGAUUAUCUGGAUCAGGUACACUGAAGUGGGAGGGUCUACUGUAACGUGGGUGCCGUCAACCCCAGACUAAGUAAAGAGAACAUGAACUGAGCAUGCUCCUCCGCAGUCUCUCUCUCUCUCUGCUUCCUGACUGCGGAUGUGAUGUGACCGGCUGCCUCGUGGUCCUGCCACCAUGCCUACACUGUGAGCCACAAGAAGCUCUCUCUUCAUUGGGUUGCUGUUGUAAGGUAUUUUGUGACAAUAAUGAAAAGUAAAAAUAAAUAAACGAUAUAGCCACCGCGGUGCCUCACUUUGUGUCACUUCUUUGGAACCGAAACUGGAGAGACAGCACGCAAGGGCGUGAGAUCUGCGAGAGAGCACCGCCUUUGUCGGAAUACACACGGAGAACGAGCGUUUGCAGGUUCUUGAUGAGACACCAACCAUCCCCAUUCUCAUCCCUACUCCUCUCCACACCGGUCUCCCUCCUGAUCUCCUUCCUCCGUCCCUCAGUCUCUACCUCUGACUCUACCUUCUCUACCCUCAACUCCACAUACUCAUUUUCCCCCCCUAGUACAAGAUGGUAGCCACUUAGCUCUGAGCCUAGUCCCUCGGUGUGCAGCAGACAGUGAGUGGACCACCUCAGAGGCUUGGGGUCCUGGGCACAGUCUGGAGGGAAGAAGUGGGUUAGAGUCAGCAGGACGGGAGUGAGGGGAAAGGGAGCUUUCCUUGUUUAGUGAUGUGACCAAGCAGGGCUGUGUAUGUGUG